UACGAAGGGGGCUAGCGUUGUUCGGAUUUACUGGGCGUAAAGCGCGCGCAGGCGGCUUUGCAAGUCAGGGGUGAAAUCCCAGAGCUUAACUCUGGGAUCGCCUUUGAGACUGUGAGGCUUCGAGUACGGGAGAGGUGAGUGGAAUUCCCAGUGUAGAGGUGAAAGUCGUAGAUAUUGGGAAGAACACCGGUGGCGAAGGCGGCUCACUGGCCCGUUACUGACGCUCAGGCGCGACAGCGUGGGGAGCAAACAGG
rnacentral:rRNA from 1 species